rnacentral:rRNA from 1 species
UCCAGGUUGAUCCUGCCGGACCUGACUGCUAUCGGAUUGGUACUAAGCCAUGCGAGUCGUUGUACAAUACAAGGCGGACUGCUCAGUAACACGUAGUUAACUUAACCUAUGGAUGGGGAUAACCUCGGGAAACUGAGAAUAAUACCCAAUGGACCACAGUGCCUGGAAUGGCCUGUGGUUGAAAUGAUUUAUCGCCGUAGGAUAGGACUGCGGCCUAUCAGCUUGUUGGUGAGGUAAUGGCCACCAAGGCUAUAACAGGUACGGGCUCUGAGAGGAGGGGCCCGGAGAUGGGUACUGAGACACGGACCCAGGCCCUAUGGGGCGCAGCAGGCGAGAAACCUUUGCAAUGUGCGAAAGCACGACAAGGUUAAUCCGAGUGUCUCCUGCUAAAGGAGUCUUUUGUCUGUUGUAGAAUCACUGGUGAAUAAGGGGUGGGCAAGUUCUGGUGUCAGCCGCCGCGGUAAAACCAGCACCUCGAGUGGUCAGGAGGUUUAUUGGGCCUAAAGCAUCCGUAGCCGGUUGCAUAAGUUUUCGGUUAAAUCUAUGCGCUUAACGUAUAGG